UAAUACGAAGGGUGCUAGCGUUGUUCGGAAUUACUGGGCGUAAAGCGCGCGUAGGCGGCUUGUCAAGUCAGGGGUGAAAUCCUGGAGCUUAACUCCAGAACUGCCUUUGAAACUGUCAAGCUAGAGUGUCGGAGGGGAUAGCGGAAUUCCUAAUGUAGAGGUGAAAUUCGUAGAUAUUAGGAGGAACACCGGUGGCGAAGGCGGCUAUCUGGACGACAACUGACGCUGAGGCGCGAAAGCGUGGGGAUCAAACAGG
rnacentral:rRNA from 1 species